rnacentral:rRNA from 1 species
UACGUAGGUGGCAAGCGUUGUCCGGAAUUAUUGGGCGUAAAGCGCGCGCAGGCGGGCCUUUAAGUCUGAUGUGAAAGCCCACGGCUCAACCGUGGAGGGUCAUUGGAAACUGGGGGACUUGAGUGCAGAAGAGGAGAGUGGAAUUCCACGUGUAGCGGUGAAAUGCGUAGAUAUCUGGAGGAACACCGGUGGCGAAGGCGGCAUUCUGGACCAUAACUGACACUGAGAGACGAAAGCCAGGGGAGCAAACGGG